CUCAAAGGCUGAAGAUAUUAACACUGGAGUAGGUGGCACACAGCCUCACAUCUCCUACCCAGACAGGCAGGUGCCAAGGACAUAGCAAAAGGCAGCAGUGUUUGUCCUAGCUGGCUGCCUCCUUCCACUGAUGCUCCAGGCAGCAUUGGGGCACAGUAUGAUGGUCAGGGGCGAGGAGAUGGCCAGCCCUUCACAGCUUUCCCUGGCAUCAACCCAAGGUAACUUAGCUGAUGCCCUGUGUCUCAGCUCUUCAUCUGGAAAUGGACUACACCUGUUGGUCUGGAUUGCAGCUGGAAUUGGAAGGGAAAUGCAUUUCCAUUGAAGGAAGAAGUGUAACAGUGAGCAGGCAGGUGUCAGCGGAUCUCAAGAGAAUAAUGUCAACUGGACAAUGGCUUAGAGGCAGGAGGAGGCAGAUCAGCUAGGCAGAUGUGCAGAAGUUAAGUGUGGUUUCAUGCAGAAACUUCCAAAUGGAUUCAAGAGCCAAAGCCUUCAAGAAGUUGGUGUCAUUGUCACUUGGAAUAUGUUUGUAUUAAUACAGGUAGAAUAUGUUAAUAAACCAUAUUCUUAUCAAGAAUCUUCCAUUUACAGCCCUUAUUUUCUCCCUUUAUUUUUGCCCUUUCUUUUCUGCCUGGCUGUUUAACUCCUGGAUAUCUGAU
rnacentral:lncRNA from 1 species